rnacentral:rRNA from 1 species
AUUGCGUCGUCCCCCCCUCGCCCGUGAUGUCCCGAAAGGGUCGCGGGCCUCAGCGUGGGGGCGGAAGUUGGCUUCCCGUGCAGCGUUUGCGGCUAGCCUGAAACACGGUUCCCCUCGCCGCGGACGUCGCGACAAGUGGUGGUCGUCGAGAUUGUACGCGAGUUGCCGGCAGGCUGCGUCGAGGGGAGCAUUUCGGACCCUGUGCGAGAUUGAGUCCUUCACCGAGGGGGCAAUUCCAACGAUUGCGACCCCAGGUCAGGC